AGAGCCUGCAUCCUUGGACGGUGUGUGGUUCCCACCAGGCAAUGUCCCCUCUCCCGUCCUCUAAGUGCCCUCUGGCCUGAGCGAGUCCAGCCCGGAGGAGUGGCAGCAGGCUGAGCUAUCCGGCAGAGGACUUUUCCCAGGCCUGGUAGUACACCUUGAAUGCUCGCCACAGGUGAUAGCUGUUACAAACAAUUUCACCACCAGCAAAGAAAAAGCAGGGCCUGGGCUUUUUGAUGUCUGCGGAGCCGGCACCCUUGGCAGUGACGUAAUCCUGGAUGUGUAAGUGUUACCAGCCUUAUUUUAAACGUGAGGAAACCGAGCUCAGAGAGGUUAACUGACCUGCUCCAAGUCACAUAUCAGAUCGCACAACUCCACCUUCUAUUAUUCUUUCCAUUGACUCAGGACUCCAUAACACCAGAUUCCACUUCAGAAUGACUCCUCUACUCAAAAACGUCUCAGUUGGACAAACAAUCAAUCAUCUAAGGCUUUCUCCCAUGUAAAACCCUCCCAGCUCUCCCCAACCAAAGAGAUGAAAGAAGUUCUACACUACACUGCUUGCUGGGACCUCAUGUCAUCCCAUAGUCCUGCUCUGGCUUCUAGGUGAGUCCUGUAGGACAGUAUACUCAGGCAGAGAGAAGAAUCUCUGGGCAUCACAUAUAGCAAUUUAGCAGGGUCUCAGGAUUGAGCUUAAGGGGGAUAAUAUAUUUGUCUGAACUGUUUCACCCAUGGUUUUAGCCCUAACCUCUGGGCAGUCUGGUCUGAGCCUUGGUUGGCAACUUUUCGUGUAAAUCCU